UUCCUUGAAUAUCAUCCUUGAAAGCUUAUGCACAUUUACGUUUGUAGGCUAAAUAUACUAUUCUCACUUCAAGUUUCACUUAUCUCUUUUGGAAAUUCAAGAACUUGAUGGCAUAAGCAAAAAUAGAGCCAAAGAAAACUGCCCAUACAACAUGCACUGCAGCAACAACUCCCAGGAAGUCGUGCUCAAAACCAAAGCUCUCUUUCAAAUACAACUUUAGUGGUACCCACCGCCUCCAGGAAUCUCAAUGGGGUUGUUCUUGUCGCCUAUUUGUGACGUUACAAGUCCAUAUAUUGUCCAUGACGCUGGAGAACCCCAAUAAUACCAUCUCCACCAUAUAGGAAUUUUCAGCGUAUGUAAUUUAUGAUUUCAUUAGAAAACGUUUGAUAACAAAAAAAUCUUUUUAUUAUUAUUUUGAUUAUUUAGUGCUUGGUAUACUUACCGUUCUUGGAAUGAUGAAACCAGAGAACAAGUUCCAAAAGUUGAUGAAGAAAGACAUUACGAUUACAGCAAUGUGGUAGUUCGGAGUGAGUGCAACAAGCAUCAUUCCAUACAUUGUGUAGUAGACAAAGCACAUGAAAACAAAAAAGUAGAACAAAAGGAACUUUCCAGAAGCCCAAUUGAACCCAAUCAUUGCAUACAGAAUAAGGCUGUAAAUAAAAGUUUGAAUCGCGACAUAGAUAGUCUCUAUUGCCAUCUGCAUAUGGCAUAAGUAUGAAUUACUUCUCAACGACCAAUUGAUGUUGUAGAAAAUAUUACGGUCUAUAUUUAAUUGAUGUUAAUCUUACCUGAGCAAAUGCAUAAGUGUAAAGUAUGAGCCCUACCUAUUUCUUGAUUCUACUGUUUGCCUAUCUGUGGAACAGGUAAGUAAACGCAGUUCGCAGAAGAGAAAGCUGAACACAGUGUUUUUACAUGGAAAACACCCGGCUCAAGAAAGGUGUAAAAAAUCACGACCUGUACCUCUACAGGAUUUAAUCCCAACUUCACUAAAAACUCUUGAGCCUCAAUAAUCAAACAAUUACAAGUCUUCUUGUAACUUAGGAAUUAAAACUUCUAAUUCCUAUCACUACAAAAAUACCAAUCU
rnacentral:lncRNA from 1 species